rnacentral:rRNA from 1 species
UACGGGGGGGGCAAGCGUUGUUCGGAAUUACUGGGCGUAAAGCGCACGUAGGCGGAUUGGUCAGUUAGGGGUGAAAUCCUGGAGCUCAACUCCAGAACUGCCUUUAAUACUGCCAGUCUCGAGUUCGGAAGAGGUAAGUGGAACUCCUAGUGUAGAGGUGGAAUUCGUAGAUAUUAGGAAGAACACCAGUGGCGAAGGCGGCUUACUGGUCCGGUACUGACGCUGAGGUGCGAAAGCGUGGGGAGCAAACAGG